GAAACCAACAGGGAUUGCCUCAGUAACGGCGAGUGAAGCGGCAACAGCUCAAAUUUGAAAUCUGGCCUCUUGGGGUCCGAGUUGUAAUUUGUAGAGGAUGUUUCGGGUACCGCCUCGGUUUAAAUUUCUUGGAACAGAAUGUCAAAGAGGGUGAGAAUCCCGUCUUGGACCGGCGGUAGGGCCUAUGUGAAACUCCUUCGACGAGUCGAGUUGUUUGGGAAUGCAGCUCAAAAUGGGUGGUAAAUUUCAUCUAAAGCUAAAUAUUGGCCAGAGACCGAUAGCGCACAAGUAGAGUGAUCGAAAGAUGAAAAGCACUUUGAAAAGAGAGUUAAACAGUAUGUGAAAUUGUUGAAAGGGAAGCGCUUGCAACCAGACUUGAGCGCGGCGGUUCCCCCUUGCUUCUGCUUGGGUUACUCCGCCGUGUCCAGGCCAACAUCGGUUCUGGGGGUCGGUCAAAGGCUCUGGGAAUGUAUCUACCCACGGGUAGACUUAUAGACCAGGGUGUCAUGCGACCUCCCGGGACCGAGGAACGCGCUUCGGCUCGGAUGUUGGCGUAAUGGUUGUCAGCGACCCGUC
rnacentral:rRNA from 1 species